rnacentral:rRNA from 1 species
UAUCGAGGAAGUUUUUCGGAUGGAAUUUAAUUGACUGAGUGGCGGACGGGUGAGUAACGCGUGGAUAACCUGCCUCACACUGGGGGAUAACACUUAGAAAUAGGUGCUAAUACCGCAUAAGCGCACGGAACUGCAUGGUUCUGUGUGAAAAAACUCCGGUGGUACAGGAUGGUCCCGCGUCUGAUUAGCCAGUUGGCGGGGUAACGGCCCACCAAAGCGACGAUCAGUAGCCGACCUGAGAGGGUGACCGGCCACAUUGGGACUGAGACACGGCCCAAACUCC